rnacentral:misc_RNA from 1 species
GGCUUGUAAAAAUUACCGGUAGUUUUGAGGUUAAUGAACUUGUAAAACCUAACAAUGCCAAGGCGCUAGUCUUCUCCGCUGCCGCAGCGGCACUGCCUCCCCCUUCCUUCGACAGGAUCCCUUCCCUUUGUUUAAGCCACUCACCAUUUGGCUUGAGUUCUAUUCCUCCAAGGCUGGCCAGUCAUUUUGCUCUCUCUUGCCUCUCGAAUUUGGACUUAAUUUGGCAAAAACGACUACUUCAGGUUUGUUCCUUGUCUGCGGUUUCCCUUUUUAAUCACUGAAUUUGGUGAAAUUGGGCAAUUAUGGUUUUCAAUCUUCAUUUUCCUUGUUCUUCGAAUGGCAAAACAUCUCAUUAGUUAAUUAAAUCUUAGUUUUAUUUUAGUUUUUUUUGUCAUUCCCUUUUGUUUUGCUUUUAAUUUUGCCAUUUCUCACACACUGAGCGGAUUUGAUUCCAUAUGGCAACUUAUUACUUUCAUUAUUCUUGAAUCUCUUCUAGAAUAAAUCAAGCUAUAUUUUUCCUCCCUCUAUGAUUUGGUUUAAUGGAUCUGAGGCUGUGAAGAUACUGACUGCCAUUACAUAAGCUUUUUGGUCGCUUUAUUUUUCUUUGUAGUUUUGAGAAUGCUUUGAGAUGCUCAUACUUUAAUUUGGUUUUCCUUGAGUUUAUGUUGCGUUUUAUUGCGCAGAAUUAGGUGGUUGAAAGAAGGAUUGAGUUUAUGUGUUGAUUUGGUUACUAUUUGGAAAUUUAUGGACACUGCAAUACUCCAUUGUUAUUGACUUGUGAAGUUUUUGAAUUCCAUUGAAUUAGAAUCCUCAUAAAAUGAAAUUUGAAUAACUGAAUUGGGUUUUUAACUGAGUUGAAAAAAUUGCUAAUAACUUGUGGGAAAGUUAUCAGCUUGUUUCCUAGGGUUUCUGUUUUUCAAUUGUUUUUCUCAGUAGAAUUCUCUCAAAAAAAUUAAUUGCCACCUCUUUUAUAUGUUGGUUUUUUGGCUCCAUGAAUUUUGUUCAUCACAGGUUUUCUGUGUUGGGGAAUUUGCUAUUUGGUAUUUUGGGUUUGCGCAAAAUUUGGACACUCAAAUUGCUGGAAAAUCAAUACCUGCAAUAAAAUCCAUUGAAAAUUUACUUCUAAGGUCUUAAAAUUUUCUUUUUCUUCAUUGUUACUCUCUUUGUUUUCUCUAUUAUUUCCUUGUUUCUCAGUUAAAACUCUUGCUUUAUUUAUUUAUUUAUUUUCCCUCAAACUGAAACAUCAUAAACUCCAAUUUCACAAACUAAAGCUCAGAAGCAGCCAUGAUUAUACAAUAAUCAAUUCAUAAGCAAAUAAGUAUAACAAAUAGUGUAUAGUAUGCCAAAGUUGCGAAGCUUAAACCGAGUCUGCAUCUCUUUCCUUCACCUUCACCUGCAACCCACCUUUCAUUCUAAGAGUCAAAGACAACAAAUGCUCUGGACACUUCUCUUUGUUCUGUACAUCAAUCUCAAAUCUCUCUAUCACAGAUGCUGCUAUGGCUUUCAUCUGAAUAUAAGCCAUAUCUUUCCCAAGACACAUUCUUGGCCCUGCAUGAAACACCGGGAACUUGAAUGGGCUCUCUUGUCUGAAAAUCCCAUCCUCUUGCAGCCACCUUUCAGGCACGAACUCUCUGCAAUCCUUGCCCCAUAUGCUCUCCAUCCUCCCCAUUGCAUAUGUAUGGUAGGUUACAAACCAACCCUUUCCAACAAAUGUACCGUCCGGCAAACAAUCAUCACUUUUGCAAGCUUUGGUAUCCACAGGCACUGGAGGAUACAAUCUUAAUGUCUCUGAAAUUGCUGCAUGUAAAUAACGCAUGUCUCGGAAUUCUUCCAAACUAUAAUUAGUAUCGCCCCUGUUUUUUCCUUUUCGUGCUCUAAGGGCUCCAAGCUCGUUUAGUAUGUUUCUUUCUACAUGUGGGUUUAAUGAUAAUUGCCAAAAGAACCAGCUCAAAGCUGAAGAUGUGGUGUCUCGGCCUGCAAGAAUGAAGCUUAUAAUAAUAUCUCGGAGAAAUUCUGCUGAGUUAUCCUCAUUUCCAAUGAAACGGGAGAGUAAAUCUUCGUCUUUCUUGUCAGUUCCAUGUUCCAUUCUUGACUUUAUAAUCUCAUCUGCGAAUUCAUGGACGAUCUUAAUCGAUUUUUUGAGUGCUUUCUCUGUUCCCAAGUUAAAGAACUUACUGAAUUUCCAUAAGAGUGGAACGGCAUACAUGAAUCUCCCUGAACUAAGCGUGGCAGCUUCUUCAAAGGCGCGCAUAAACUCACCGCCGGCGGUUCCAUCGCCACCGAGACAGCCGGGAUCAACGUUAAAAGCAAGUUUACAUAUGUUAUCAAACGCAAACCUCUCUAGCAGCUCUUGAAAAUCCAGUACUUGGUUCGUUUUCGAGGCUCUUGAAAAGAUUGGGAACAAUCUUGAUGAAAUCUCUAUCCUGACAUUAUCCAUAACGAAAUUUCGUAGUGACUUGGUGUUGAACUCGUAGCUAGCAGUCUUUCUUUGGACUCUCCACAGCUCCCCAUCGGAGUUAAAGAUUCCUCGACCGAGGAAAUCUUCAAGAAGGGAUAUGAACCGGUCGCCUUUUGGGUAAUUGUCAAAGUUAGUCUUGAGAAUAUACUCAACGUUUAAAGGAUUUGCUGUGAUGACUCCAUGGACUUUGCCAGGACGGCGGAAGACGGCGGUGUUGGCGGGGCAUUGGCCAAGUAUUUCAGUUGUCCAGUCGAGGAAACGGUGACGAUUUCUCAAGAACUCAGGUAAAGCUCCUACUAUAGGAUAGAUUUUGAAGCCUUUCUUGGUGAGUUUGUUCUGUGAAGUGUAAAGAAGGUAGAAGUAGAGACAAACAGAAAGAAAGGGAAGUAACAGAAUAAAUUGAAGGGAUAAGGAUUCCAUGGUUAGAGAAGAAAGUGAAAGGAAAGGUCUAAUUUAAUUUUGCAGUGUAAUGACUGAUUUGGUUUGUGGGGUAGUAUUCUGUAAUGAAUUUCUUGUAAGAUAUGCUUUGCAGCCUGCGCUGUAUGGAGAUAAAGUAGGAGAUAUCAUUUCAGCUGCAGACCAUGAGGUUCUAGAAAAUAAAUAAAUGAAAGUAGCAAUGUUAAUUAACGAUGCUGGUUUAU